rnacentral:rRNA from 1 species
AUUGAACGCUGGCGGCAGGCCUAACACAUGCAAGUCGAGCGGAUGAAGGGAGCUUGCUCCUGGAUUCAGCGGCGGACGGGUGAGUAAUGCCUAGGAAUCUGCCUGGUAGUGGGGGAUAACGUCCGGAAACGGGCGCUAAUACCGCAUACGUCCUGAGGGAGAAAGUGGGGGAUCUUCGGACCUCACGCUAUCAGAUGAGCCUAGGUCGGAUUAGCUAGUUGGUGGGGUAAAGGCCUACCAAGGCGACGAUCCGUAACUGGUCUGAGAGGAUGAUCAUUCACACUGGAACUGAGACACGGUCCAGACUCCUACGGGAGGCAGCAGUGGGGAAUAUUGGACAAUGGGCGAAAGCCUGAUCCAGCCAUGCCGCGUGUGUGAAGAAGGUCUUCGGAUUGUAAAGCACUUUAAGUUGGGAGGAAGGGCAGUAAGUUAAUACCUUGCUGUUUUGACGUUACCAACAGAAUAAGCACCGGCUAACUUCGUG